GAUGAACGCUGGCGGCGUGCCUAAUACAUGCAAGUCGAGCGAACGGACGAGAAGCUUGCUUCUCUGAUGUUAGCGGCGGACGGGUGAGUAACACGUGGAUAACCUACCUAUAAGACUGGGAUAACUUCGGGAAACCGGAGCUAAUACCGGAUAAUAUUUUGAACCGCAUGGUUCAAAAGUGAAGGACGGUCUUGCUGUCACUUAUAGAUGGAUCCGCGCUGCAUUAGCUAGUUGGUAAGGUAACGGCUUACCAAGGCAACGAUGCAUAGCCGACCUGCGAGGGUGAUCGGCCACACUGGAACUGAGACACGGUCCAGACUCCUACGGGAGGCAGCAGUAGGGAAUCUUCCGCAAUGGGCGAAAGCCUGACGGAGCAACGCCGCGUGAGUGAUGAAGGUCUUCGGAUCGUAAAACUCUGUUAUUAGGGAAGAACAUAUGUGUAAGUAACUGUGCACAUCUUGACGGUACCUAAUCAGAAAGCCACGGCUAACUACGUG
rnacentral:rRNA from 1 species